GCUCCCGGCUCUUCCCGUGGCUGUUCCUGCUCUCCUGUCCCUGCGUCCUUCCGUCAGACCCCCACCCCGCCCCGGCCGCAGGAGUCUUUUCCAGAAGAAUCAGUCCUUGUCUAACCACGCGCGGGUCUCACCCUCCUCCGUGAGCGCUGCAUUAAACUGUCCGGCUCUGGGGUCCUCCCCUGCCCACCAUGAGCCCAGCCUGUUCUGCCGAGUGUGGGAUACACCGAGAUUGUCUUAAGUCAGAGUGUUCUUUGAUGUGAGAGGUUGUAUACUUCGUGCCGCUUUCGGCUGGUAGAAUGAACUUUCUUCACAGUAUGGGGAUGUGUUUCGGAUUUGUGCUGAACACAGGGUUGUUGAUAAGGAGAUGUGGUUUUUAUUGCCGAGCAGGGCUUGCACAGAGCCAAGGCCUUUUCUGCUUUCCAUACUGCCACACUGGCGAGGAAUUUGGGAGUGCGUGGGAGGUUGAGGAGACACAGCUGGCACAGGUGACCCAGGCUGACCAAAGGGAUAAUCCAGACCUUAGGACAUCAUAAGUUUAUAAGGUGGGAGAAGGAGGAAAGGGGGGACAUUUAUUGUGAUGAGGUCUGUGUUCCCAAGUCACCACUAUAUAUGAUGGAGCCCUGCUCUCCUGGAGAUGGCUGAACAGCAGCCUGCCCAUGAAGAACAGUGAAUUAAUUAUUUGCUUUUAUUUAUUUGUGCGUUUGGUUUUUACUUUCCCUAUUAAACUGUCUUUAUCGAAACUCGUGAAUUUUCCAGCUUUUACCCUUCCAUUCUCCACCCUGAUCCUGCUGGUGGGGGAGUGACGAGCGGCCGCCUGGGGCUUGGUUGCUGGCUGGGGUGAACCUACCACAACUUUCAAGCCUAAUCAGCAGGAAAGGAGACCUUAUCAGUGGAACAGGCAGCUUAUAUAAAUAAAUAAAGAAGAAGAAAGAAGAAGAAGAAGAAAGGAGAAGAAGGAAGAAGAAAAGAUCCUUCGGUUCUCGACAGCAGGACAGGGAUCUGGCCUGUUGAUGUGGUUGCAGCUCACACUUGGGGGAGGAGUUAGCUGUGGUCACUGGAGCUGCUUGGCUGGAAGUUCAGCACCCUCAGCUUUCCCAUCUGGAACUGUCAGGAGAGGUGCGACGGAGCAGCAAUGUUCAUUCAUUCUGGAAUAAAUACGUGUUCAACGUGAGGGAUGUUCUUCCGAUGAUGCGAUACAGCACACAAGUAGAUGAGGAAGAGGAGACACAACACUGCUGUAGCUGUGAGGAAGACAAGGAGCCCAGCAAACAGAGAAGGUUUCAGAGGCUGCUGCAACUUCUGUCUCCUCCUCAACCUCUUUGGAUUAAAAUGACAGUAAGGGAAAAUUAUUAUUACUCACCUCCUUUUGAAAAUGUAUCUGUGGCCAAGUUUCUGCAUUGAAGUUGUAACCAUGUACAAGCAAGUAAUAAAUGAAAUUGGCUGAGAAACAGUAGGAUCUAGCAUAUAUUUCUUCAAAUUUGGGCAGCAUAAAC